GAUGAACGCUGGCGGCGUGCCUAAUACAUGCAAGUCGAGCGAACAGACGAGGAGCUUGCUCCUCUGACGUUAGCGGCGGACGGGUGAGUAACACGUGGAUAACCUACCUAUAAGACUGGGAUAACUUCGGGAAACCGGAGCUAAUACCGGAUAAUAUAUUGAACCGCAUGGUUCAAUAGUGAAAGACGGUUUUGCUGUCACUUAUAGCUGGAUCCGCGCCGCAUUAGCUAGUUGGUAAGGUAACGGCUUACCAAGGCAACGAUGCGUAGCCGACCUGAGAGGGUGAUCGGCCACACUGGAACUGAGACACGGUCCAGACUCCUACGGGAGGCAGCAGUAGGGAAUCUUCCGCAAUGGGCGAAAGCCUGACGGAGCAACGCCGCGUGAGUGAAGAAGGUCUUCGGAUCGUAAAACUCUGUUAUUAGGGAAGAACAAAUGUGUAAGUAACUAUGCACGUCUUGACGGUACCUAAUCAGAAAGCCACGGCUAACUACGUG
rnacentral:rRNA from 1 species